rnacentral:rRNA from 1 species
CAGCCGUAAACUAUGCUCGCUAGGUGUCAGGCAUGGCGCGACCGUGUCUGGUGCCGCAGGGAAGCCGUGAAGCGAGCCACCUGGGAAGUACGGCCGCAAGGCUGAAACUUAAAGGAAUUGGCGGGGGGGGCACCACAACGGGUGGAGCCUGCGGUUUAAUUGGACUCAACGCCGGACAACUCACCGGGGACGACAGCAAUAUGUAGGCCAGGCUGAAGACCUUGCCUGAAUCGCUGAGAGGUGGUGCAUGGCGUAGACGUCU